CGCCCGAUCUCGUCUGAUCUCGGAAGCUAAGCAGGGUAGGGCCGGGUCAGUACUUGGAUGGGAGACUGCCUGGGAAUACCCGGUGCUGUAAGCU
rnacentral:rRNA from 1 species